GACGAACGCUGGCGGCGUGCCUAAUACAUGCAAGUCGAACGAGUGGCGGACGGGUGAGUAAUGUCUGGGAAACUGCCUGAUGGAGGGGGAUAACUACUGGAAACGGUAGCUAAUACCGCAUACCAUCAGAUGUGCCAAGAUGGGAUUAGCUUUUUGGUGGGGUAACGGCUCACCAAGGCGACGAGCCCUAGCUGGUCUGAGAGGAUGACCAGCCACACGGGAACGGAGACACGGGCCAGACUCCUACGUGAGGCAGCAGUGGGGGAUAUUGCACAAUGGGCGAAAGCCUGAUGCAGCCAUGCCGCUUGUAGGAAGAAGGCCUUCGGGUUGUAAAGUACUUUCAGCGGGGAGGCGUUACCCGCAGAAGAAGCACCGGCUAACUCCGUGCCAGCAGCCGCGGUAAUAC
rnacentral:rRNA from 1 species